GACAGAGGUGCCAAGCGUUAGGCGGAAUCACUGGGCUUAAAGCGUGUGUAGGCGGAUCGUUAAGUACCUUGUGAAAUCCCACGGCUCAACCGUGGAACUGCUGGGCAUACUGGACGUCUCGAGGCACUCAGGGGCGAGCGGAACAAGUGGUGGAGCGGUGAAAUGCGUAGAUAUCACUUGGAACGCCAAUGGUGAAGACAGCUCGCUGGGGGUGUCCUGACGCUGAGGCGCGAAAGCCAGGGGAGCGAACGGG
rnacentral:rRNA from 1 species